GACGAACGCUGGCGGCGUGCUUAACACAUGCAAGUCGAACGGUAAGGCCUUUCGGGGUCCACGAGUGGCGAACGGGUGAGUAACACGUGGGUGAUCUGCCCUGCACUUCGGGAUAAGCCCGGGAAACUGGGUCUAAUACCGGAUAGGACUGCGCGGUGCAUGCCGUGUGGUGGAAAGAUUUAUCGGUGCAGGAUGGGCCCGCGGCCUAUCAGCUUGUUGGUGGGGUAAUGGCCUACCAAGGCGACGGCGGGUAGCCGGCCUGAGAGGGCGACCGGCCACACUGGGACUGGGACACGGCCCAGAGUCCUACGGGAGGCAGGAGUGGGGGAUAUUGCACGAUGGGCGCAAGCCUGAUGCAGCGACGCCGCGUGAGGGAUGACGGCCUUCGGGUUGUAAACCUCUUUCAGCAGGGACGAAGCGUGAGUGACGGUACCUGCAGAAGAAGCACCGGCCAACUACGUG
rnacentral:rRNA from 1 species